rnacentral:rRNA from 1 species
GUGGGGAAUAUUGGACAAUGGGCGAAAGCCUGAUCCAGCCAUGCCGCGUGUGUGAAGAAGGUCUUCGGAUUGUAAAGCACUUUAAGUUGGGAGGAAGGGCAGUAAGUUAAUACCUUGCUGUUUUGACGUUACCGACAGAAUAAGCACCGGCUACUUCGUGCCAGCAGCCGCGGUAAUACGAAGGGUGCAAGCGUUAAUCGGAAUUACUGGGCGUAAAGCGCGCGUAGGUGGUUUUGUAAGUUGGAGGUGAAAUCCCCGGGCUCAACCUGGGAACUUCCUUCAAAACUGCAUGACUAGAGUACGGUAGAGGGUAGUGGAAUUUCCUGUGUAGCGGUGAAAUGCGUAGAUAUAGGAAGGAACACCAGUGGCGAAGGCGACUACCUGGACUGAUACUGACACUGAGGUGCGAAAGCGUGGGGAGCAAACAGGAUUAGAAACCCUAGUAGUCC